rnacentral:rRNA from 1 species
CGGCAGGCCUAACACAUGCAAGUCGGACGGAAACGAUAGAGAGCUUGCUCUCUAGGCGUCGAGUGGCGGACGGGUGAGUAAUGCUUAGGAAUCUACCCAAUAGUUGGGGACAACAUGUGGAAACGCAUGCUAAUACCGAAUGUGCUCUACGGAGUAAAGGUGGCCUCUACUUGUAAGCUAUCGCUAUUGGAUGAGCCUAAGUGAGAUUAGCUUGUUGGUAAGGUAAAAGCUUACCAAGGCGACGAUCUCUAGCUGGUUUGAGAGGAUGAUCAGCCACACUGGGACUGAGACACGGCCCAGACUCCUACGGGAGGCAGCAGUGGGGAAUAUUGCACAAUGAGGGAAACCUUGAUGCAGCCAUGCCGCGUGUGUGAAGAAGGCCCGAGGGUUGUAAAGCACUUUCAAUUGGGAGGAAGGUAGUAUCGCUAAUAUCGAUAUUGCUUGACGUUACCUUUAGAAGAAGCACCGGCUAACUCUGUGCCAGCAGCCGCGGUAAUACAGAGGGUGCAAGCGUUAUUCGGAAUUACUGGGCGUAAAGCGCGCGUAGGCGGACUGUUAAGUCGGUUGUGAAAGCCCUGGGCUCAACCUGGGAACUGCAUCCGAUACUGGCAAUCUAGAGUUUAAGAGAGGGAAGGGGAAUUCCUAGUGUAGCAGUGAAAUGCGUAGAUAUUAGGAGGAACAUCAGUGGCGAAGGCGCCU